rnacentral:rRNA from 1 species
UGGCGGAAUGCUUUACACAUGCAAGUCGAACGGCAGCACGGACUUCGGUCUGGUGGCGAGUGGCGAACGGGUGAGUAAUAUAUCGGAACGUAUCCAAUAAUGGGGGAUAACUAAUCGAAAGGUUGGCUAAUACCGCAUACGCCCUACGGGGGAAAGCUAGGGAUCUUCGGACCUGGCGUUAAUGGAGCGGCCGAUAUCUGAUUAGCUAGUUGGUGGGGUAAAGGCCCACCAAGGCGACGAUCAGUAGCUGGUCUGAGAGGACGACCAGCCACACUGGAACUGAGACACGGUCCAGACUCCUACGGGAGGCAGCAGUGGGGAAUUUUGGACAAUGGGCGCAAGCCUGAUCCAGCCAUUCCGCGUGAGUGAAGAAGGCCUUCGGGUUGUAAAGCUCUUUCGCAAGGGAAGAAAACUUAUCCUCUAACAUAGGAUGAGGUUGACGGUACCUUGAUAAGAAGCACCGGCUAACUACGUGCCAGCAGCCGCGGUAAUACGUAGGGUGCGAGCGUUAAUCGGAAUUACUGGGCGUAAAGCGUGCGCAGGCUGUUUUGUAAGUCAGAUGUGAAAUCCCUGAGCUCAACUUAGGAACUGCGUUUGAAACUACAAGACUAGAAUAUGUCAGAGGGGGGUAGAAUUCCACGUGUAGCAGUGAAAUGCGUAGAGAUGUGGAGGAAUACCAAUGGCGAAGGCAGCCCCCUGGGAUAAUAUUGACGCUCAUGCACGAAAGCGUGGGGAGCAAACAGGAUUAGAUACCCUGGUAGUCCACGCCCUAAACGAUGUCUACUAGUUGUUGGUGGAGUAAAAUCCAUGAGUAACGCAGCUAACGCGUGAAGUAGACCGCCUGGGGAGUACGGUCGCAAGAUUA